rnacentral:rRNA from 1 species
CUACGUGCCAGCAGCCGCGGUAAUACGUAGGUGGCGAGCGUUGUCCGGAAUCAUUGGGCGUAAAGGGAGCGCAGGCGGGCCGGUAAGUCUUACUUAAAAGUGCGGGGCUCAACCCCGUGAUGGGAGAGAAACUAUCGGUCUUGAGUACAGGAGAGGAAAGCGGAAUUCCCAGUGUAGCGGUGAAAUGCGUAGAUAUUGGGAAGAACACCAGUGGCGAAGGCGGCUUUCUGGACUGCAACUGACGCUGAGGCUCGAAAGCCAGGGGAGCGAACGGGAUUAGAUACCCCGGUAGUCCUGGCCGUAAACGAUGAGCACUAGGUGUCGGGGUCGCAAGACUUCGGUGCCGCAGUUAACGCAUUAAGUGCUCCGCCUGGGGAGUACGCACGCAAGUGUAAAACUCAAAGGAAUUGACGGGGACCCGCACAAGCAGCGGAGCAUGUGGUUUAAUUCGAAGCAACGCGAAGAACCUUACCAGGACUUGACAUCC